UACGGAGGGUGCGAGCGUUGUCCGGAAUCACUGGGCGUAAAGGGUGCGUAGGCGGGUCUUUAAGUCAGGGGUGAAAUCCUGGAGCUCAACUCCAGAACUGCCUUUGAUACUGAAGAUCUUGAGUUCGGGAGAGGUGAGUGGAACUGCGAGUGUAGAGGUGAAAUUCGUAGAUAUUCGCAAGAACACCAGUGGCGAAGGCGGCUCACUGGCCCGAUACUGACGCUGAGGCACGAAAGCGUGGGGAGCAAACAGG
rnacentral:rRNA from 1 species